GACGAACGCUGGCGGCGUGCUUAACACAUGCAAGUCGAACGGAAAGGCCCUGCUUUUGUGGGGUGCUCGAGUGGCGAACGGGUGAGUAACACGUGAGUAACCUGCCCUUGACUUUGGGAUAACUUCGGGAAACUGGGGCUAAUACCGGAUAGGAGCUCCUGCUGCAUGGUGGGGGUUGGAAAGUUUCGGCGGUUGGGGAUGGACUCGCGGCUUAUCAGCUUGUUGGUGGGGUAGUGGCUUACCAAGGCUUUGACGGGUAGCCGGCCUGAGAGGGUGACCGGCCACAUUGGGACUGAGAUACGGCCCAGACUCCUACGGGAGGCAGCAGUGGGGAAUAUUGCACAAUGGGCGGAAGCCUGAUGCAGCAACGCCGCGUGCGGGAUGACGGCCUUCGAGUUGUAAACCGCUUUCGCCUGUGACGAAGCGUGAGUGACGGUAAUGGGUAAAGAAGCACCGGCUAACUACGUGCCAGCAGCCGCGGUGAUACGUAGGGUGCGAGCGUUGUCCGGAUUUAUUGGGCGUAAAGGGCUCGUAGGUGGUUGAUCGCGUCGGAAGUGUAAUCUUGGGGCUUAACCCUGAGCGUGCUUUCGAUACGGGUUGACUUGAGGAAGGUAGGGGAGAAUGGAAUUCCUGGUGGAGCGGUGGAAUGCGCAGAUAUCAGGAGGAACACCAGUGGCGAAGGCGGUUCUCUGGGCCUUUCCUGACGCUGAGGAGCGAAAGCGUGGGGAGCGAACAGGCUUAGAUACCCUGGUAGUCCACGCUGUAAACGGUGGGUACUAGGUGUGGGGUCCAUUCCACGGGUUCCGUGCCGUAGCUAACGCUUUAAGUACCCCGCCUGGGGAGUACGGCCGCAAGGCUAAAACUCAAAGGAAUUGACGGGGCCCCGCACAAGCGGCGGAGCAUGCGGAUUAAUUCGAUGCAACGCGUAGAACCUUACCUGGGUUUGACAUGGAUCGGGAGCGCUCAGAGAUGGGUGUGCCUCUUUUGGGGUCGGUUCACAGGUGGUGCAUGGCUGUCGUCAGCUCGUGUCGUGAGAUGUUGGGUUAAGUCCCGCAACGAGCGCAACCCUUGUUCACUGUUGCCAGCACGUUAUGGUGGGGACUCAGUGGAGACCGCCGGGGUCGACUCGGAGGAAGGUGGGGAUGACGUCAAGUCAUCAUGCCCCUUAUGUCCAGGGCUUCACGCAUGCUACAAUGGCUGGUACAGAGAGUGGCGAGCCUGUGAGGGUGAGCGAAUCUCGGAAAGCCGGUCUCAGUUCGGAUUGGGGUCUGCAACUCGACCUCAUGAAGUCGGAGUCGCUAGUAAUCGCAGAUCAGCAACGCUGCGGUGAAUACGUUCCCGGG
rnacentral:rRNA from 1 species